rnacentral:rRNA from 1 species
AUUGAACGCUGGCGGCAGGCCUAACACAUGCGAGUCGAGCGGAUGAAGGGAGCUUGCUCCUGGAUUCAGCGGCGGACGGGUGAGUAAUGCCUAGGAAUCUGCCUGGUAGUGUGGGAUAACGUCCGGAAACGGGCGCUAAUACCGCAUACGUCCUGAGGGAGAAAGUGGGGGAUCUUCGGACCUCACGCUAUCAGAUGAGCCUAGGUCGGAUUAGCUAGUUGGUGGGGUAAAGGCCUACCAAGGCGACGAUCCGUAACUGGUCUGAGAGGAUGAUCAGUCACACUGGAACUGAGACACGGUCCAGACUCCUACGGGAGGCAGCAGUGGGGAAUAUUGGACAAUGGGCGAAAGCCUGAUCCAGCCAUGCCGCGUGUGUGAAGAAGGUCUUCGGAUUGUAAAGCACUUUAAGUUGGGAGGAAGGGCAGUAAGUUAAUACCUUGCUGUUUUGACGUUACCAACAGAAUAAGCACCGGCUAACUUCGUG